rnacentral:rRNA from 1 species
CCUACGGGAGGCAGCAGUGGGGAAUAUUGGACAAUGGGGGGAACCCUGAUCCAGCGACGCCGCGUGAGUGAAGAAGUAUUUCGGUAUGUAAAGCUCUAUCAGCAGGGAAGAAAGAAAUGACGGUACCUGACUAAGAAGCCCCGGCUAACUACGUGCCAGCAGCCGCGGGAAUACGUAGGGGGCAAGCGUUAUCCGGAUUUACUGGGAGUAAAGGGAGCGUAGACGGCGAUGCAAGUCUGAAGUGAAAGGCGGGGGCCCAACCCCCGGACUGCUUUGGAAACUGUAUGGCUGGAGUGCAGGAGAGGUGAGUGGAAUUCCUGGUGUAGCGGUGAAAUGCGUAGAUAUUAGGAGGAACACCAGUGGCGAAGGCGGCUUACUGGACUGUAACUGACGUUGAGGUUCGAAAGCGUGGGGAGCAAACAGGAUUAGAUACCCUUGUAGUC